UGAACUCACAGUUUAACAUAAUGGACAUAUCGGCCAGACUGCUGAUUAUCUUACUGUUCUGGGGAGGUGUUGAUGGUCAGACUCUGACAGAAUCUGAACCAGUCAUUAAAAGGCCUGGAGACUCCCACAGACUGACCUGCACAGCCUCUGGAUUCACAUUUAGCAGCUAUGAUAUGCACUGGGUCAGACAGACUCCUGGGAAAGUACUGGAAUGGGUUGCCGAAGUUAGUACUGGUAGUAGCAAAUACUACUCUCAGUCAGUCCAAGGCCGGUUUACCAUCUCCAGAGACAACAGCAGACAGCAGCUGUAUCUGCAGAUGAACAGCCUGAAGACUGAAGAUUCUGCUGUUUAUUAUUGUGCUCGAGAGUCACAGUGAUAC